GAGCAGUGUUACGUUAUUUAUUUUAGAAUUUGUACGCUCUGUUGUCAUGACCGAUUUCACAGAGCGUACCGAUUCUUUGAUAAGUGUCGUCAACAAUUGGCAACGAAUCG
rnacentral:pre_miRNA from 1 species